rnacentral:rRNA from 1 species
ACGUAGGGGGCAAGCGUUAUCCGGAUUUACUGGGUGUAAAGGGAGCGUAGACGGCAAGGCAAGUCUGAAGUGAAAGCCCGGUGCUUAACGCCGGGAUUGCUUUGGAAACUGUUUGGCUGGAGUGCCGGAGAGGUAAGCGGAAUUCCUAGUGUAGCGGUGAAAUGCGUAGAUAUUAGGAAGAACACCAGUGGCGAAGGCGGCUUACUGGACGGUAACUGACGUUGAGGCUCGAAAGCGUGGGGAGCAAACAG